AGAGUCCUGAUGUGUACGUUGUCUACCCUAAUUUUGACCGAACAUAUUACCUUCGGGAGUCCGGAGUUUUCUACGUAAGCGUAAAUGCCUCAUUUGUAGGGGACUUACAGAUGCGAGAAGCAGGACACCCACCUGCUAAGUGCGGGUUCAAAAUGAAGGACCAAUAACGACGGCAUAAUUGGGACUCUU
rnacentral:other from 1 species